GUUUUACUCCCUCCGUCCCAAAAUUCUUGUCUUAGAUUUGCCUAAAUACGGAUGUAUCUAAUACUAAAACGUGACUUGAUACAUCCGUAUUUAGACAAAUCUAAGACAAGAAUUUUGGGACGGAGGGAGUAUAAC
rnacentral:pre_miRNA from 1 species